rnacentral:misc_RNA from 1 species
AAAGUCGUAACAAGGUUUCCGUAGGUGAACCUGCGGAAGGAUCAUUACAAAUCAGUGUUGGCUGCAUGGGGGGAGUUGUUGUGUUGGGUGAGUUGGUGGUAGUUGCGGGAUGUGUCGCAAGAUACAUCUUGACGCUCCACUGCUCCCCCGCAUACCCGGCCCCCGAGCAGCCGCUCACAUUUGCGCUUGUUGUGUUUGACAGAGUAAACUAUUUAUGAAAUGAGACAACUUUUAACAAUGGAUCUCUUGGCUCUU